UUUCUUUUCUGGUGGCACGUACAUCAUAAUGGCUAGGAAGAAUGGUCUGGAUUCUAGACUUCCUUGAUUUCUCAGGAGCCUUAUAUUAAUAUGAUUACUCCUGGUUUGUCUUUUUCAUCUCAUGUACACCUGCUGGUUGGUCCCUCACAUCUUAAAAGUAAAGAGGAAAACGGAUGUCUUGAGAGACCCCCAUUUGCUGCCACUGCUGUCGAGAGCUGCCAGGCCUGCUGUUCUCACCUGCUCAGCGUGCGUCCACUCCUCGUCACGUUUCGUCCAGCCGCUCCACGAAGGUGCUCUGACUGAAGGUUCUGGGACAUGGACACCUCUUCUGGGAGGUCACCGUUCAACCUAUGACAAAAUGCAGCUCCAACCACCCCAUUUCAUCUUAUGAGUAAUUACCCAGCUUAUUAAACGCUACCUACAGAUUCUUGUCAGUCCUUAUGUUAGUCUGGGAUCUCUAGAGAAACAGACCAAUAAGAGGGGUGUGUGUGUGUGUGUGUGUGUAAAGAGAUUCAUUACAGGGAAUUAGCUCAUGUGAUUAUGGACGCUAACAAGUCUUAAGAUCUGCAGGGUUAGUCAGUAAGCUGGAGAGUUGAUGAUGUGGUUCCAAUUCGAAGCCUAGCAGCUUGACACCCAGUAAGAGCUAAUGUUUCAGUUUAAGUCCAAAGGCAGGACUGUCCCACUGUCCCAAUCUGAAAGCAGUCAGGCAAGAGGCAUUCUCUCUUACUGGAAGGAAAACAAACCCUUUUGUUUCAUUCGGGCCUUCAAAUGAUUAGAUGAGGCCCACCCAAACGGAGGUGUCAAAUCUACUUUGAUCUGCUCUAUUCAGUCUACCAACUUAAAUGUUAAUCUCAUCUAAAAUGAGCCUCACAGAAACACCCAGAAUGUUUGGCCAAAUUAUCUGGGCACCCUGUGGCCCAGUAAAAGUGACCCUUAAAAUUAACCAUCAUAGUCCUCCUCACCUCUUAUUUUUUCCUUGUGUGUUUCAUUUCCUUCUUUCUUAUUAGAAUAAUGAGAACAUCCUUUUGAUGUUCUUUCACUGAGGAUCUCUUAAGGAUAAAGUCAGGUUUUUGAGUAAACCUGUCUUUUUAGAUCUGAAAACAUCUUUCAUAUGAUCCCAUUUUUGAAUGACAAUUUAAUUAGGUAAAAAAUUCUAGGUAGUUACUUUUCUCUCAGCACUUUGAAGAUAUUGUUACGUUGUCGUCUGUUUCUUAUGUUGAAAAGGGGCUGAAAGAAACAUUAUAACUGUGUAGGUUCUCAACUGUUGUUUUGUCUACUUUUCACUUUCCAAUCU
rnacentral:lncRNA from 1 species